rnacentral:lncRNA from 1 species
CAUCAGCUGAAUAUUGGCUGAAGCAUGGAUAAUAAGGUUUUGAUUCUUUUUUCUGGUUAAAAUUUCGAUGGUCUCUUGGGUUGUCGCCGUUCUUGGGUGGAGGGCCGGCUUAAUUGCUUGUGCCUUGCCCCACUCGAUUGCGAUGUUCUCAUUGGAUGCUUGUUCGGCUAGUGCUGUUGCCAUCUUGCCGGUCCUAGCAUCCCUCUUGUGUUCUUCGAGCCUCUGGUGGGGGUACUGUUUGUCACUCCUGCGUGUGUUGCUUUUUCGCGUCUAGCUGGAUGGUUGGUCGGUAUUGUAUAUAUGCUCGGCCUUUCAGUACUCUUUCUCUGGUCUUUCUCGUUGUGGAGGGCAUUAAAGGGUGAUGGUGGUCUCUUCGUGGAGGUCCUUUUUCCAGAUUUUGGGAUGGCAUCUCUUGUGGCGGUCGAUCUGUUCAUGGGGUGUGGUGCCG